GACAGAGGAGCCAAGCGUUGUCCGGAUUGACUGGGCGUAAAGCGCACGCAGGCGGUCGUGCACGGGGGGUGUGAAAACUGGCGGCUUAACUGCCAGAGGCCACCUCAUACGGCGCGACUCGAGCCCUGCAGAGGUCCAUGGAAUUGCCGGUGUAGUGGUGAAAUGCGUAGAGAUCGGCAGGAACACCCAGGGGGAAACCAGUGGACUGGGCAGGAGCUGACGCUCAGGUGCGAAAGCGUGGGGAGCGAACCGG
rnacentral:rRNA from 1 species